rnacentral:rRNA from 1 species
GUACCCGCGGCAAGACGGAAAGACCCCGUGAACCUUUACUAUAGCUUGACACUGAACAUUGAGCCUUGAUGUGUAGGAUAGGUGGGAGGCUUUGAAGUGUGGACGCCAGUCUGCAUGGAGCCGACCUUGAAAUACCACCCUUUAAUGUUUGAUGUUCUAACGUUGGCCCGUAAUCCGGGUUGCGGACAGUGUCUGGUGGGUAGUUUGACUGGGGCGGUCUCCUCCUAAAGAGUAACGGAGGAGCACGAAGGUUGGCUAAUCCUGGUCGGACAUCAGGAGGUUAGUGCAAUGGCAUAAGCCAGCUUGACUGCGAGCGUGACGGCGCGAGCAGGUGCGAAAGCAGGUCAUAGUGAUCCGGUGGUUCUGAAUGGAAGGGCCAUCGCUCAACGGAUAAAAGGUACUCCGGGGAUAACAGGCUGAUACCGCCCAAGAGUUCAUAUCGACGGCGGUGUUUGGCACCUCGAUGUCGGCUCAUCACAUCCUGGGGCUGAAGUAGGUCCCAAGGGUAUGGCUGUUCGCCAUUUAAAGUGGUACGCGAGCUGGGUUUAGAACGUCGUGAGACAGUUCGGUCCCUAUCUGCCGUGGGCGCUGGAGAACUGAGGGGGGCUGCUCCUAGUACGAGAGGACCGGAGUGGACGCAUCACUGGUGUUCGGGUUGUCAUGCCAAUGGCACUGCCCGGUAGCUAAAUGCGGAAGAGAUAAGUGCUGAAAGCAUCUAAGCACGAAACUUGCCCCGAGAUG